CCCCUCUCAGGAUGGCACCUGGAGAGUUUCCAGGACUCUACCAGUCUUGGCAAUGGGAGGGAGAGUCAAGCAGAGGCCUAUCCACUCCAUUCCUAGCUUGGGCAGUGGCUAGCAAGUGGAAGGCCACCUGCUACAAGU
rnacentral:snoRNA from 1 species